UCCCUGGCGGCAGCCUGACCCUGGUGACUGUCACUCGUGGGAUACAAAGGGGCAGUUGCAGCGCCACAUCAGCCUCAGAUCUCCCGAGGGAUCAGAUGAGGCCUCUAUGGCCACUGCCUUUUCCGCUGGCUCCCACAUCCCUCCCACAUGUGGCUCCUGCCAGGGCUCCCGAGAAGCCCCCUGCAGGCAAAUCUCACGCGGAAUCCAUUUCCAGAAGGACGCGGUCUCGACAACUAGCCGUGAAGAAGGGGACACCAGGUUGGGGAACACUGGAUGUCCUUGCAGGAUGCUGCGUGCUAGUGCCAGGACUCGGGGGCUGUGGCCAUGCGGUAAGAGACCCCACAGUGUGUGCCCACACUCUGCUGCUGUUUUCAUAGCAUCUUGCAGGACACGUGUGGUCUGCUUUGGGGACAGAGAAAGAGAUGCAGGUUACUUCUUCGACGACUGACACCGGUGUGAUUCUGUCACGCGCUAACAGGUGCCAGACCGAAUGUAGGAAAGCUGGAGAAUCUUAACAAUUUUCUUUCCCUUCCGAUGUGGAUCAGUUCCAAUUAGACCUUCCUACUCCCCAUGUGUGUGUCUUCUCCCAUACAGAGGGACCUGGAAAUAACUGGUGUUAGGAAGGAAGACGGUUCACAGGGAAGAUGGUAAACGGUAGAGUAAACGUUUGGUAGACAGAUGUGGGACACGGAGGAGUUAACAGGCAGACAGGUGCCUCCCAGUCCCCCUCCUGCGGUCCUGGGGUCACUGACGGCGACGGCUGCCCCCCGAAGCGGCUUCUCUGCCUGCAUUCUUGAGGCGCCUGGGGGAGGUCAGGGUUCUUCCUGAGCCUUCUGUUUCAUGAAAAUAAUCAGCCCAGAAUAGACACACAUGCCAGAGAGCGCACAUUUGGGGAUGACAGCUUUUCUCCCCUGCAGCCCCACCACACAACCCACGGCGGCCCCUUACCUGUCCCCAGGCGGCUGUCCCCUCACCCCACACGUGACCACAGCUCUCCGUGUGCCUCCCACAUCUCUACUGAACCUUUCUCGGAAAGUCAGAGACACAGAAGGGUCUUCCCAGGAAAGUGCCCAGCAGAAGAGAAACAACGCUUAGAUGUGUGUCUGAAGUGGAGAACCCCUCACACCAGCCCCCACCCAAGCUUCCAGUCAGAUGUUCUCUGCCUCGGUCUUAAACUCGAAUGAAUAUUUGAGGAUCUCCAAGUGUUGGGAAGAAGGCUGUAACACAAAAGACAGAGACCAACACAAAUAAGGGGAAGAAAAGUGCAAGAGGGGAGCAUUGUGGGAAAGCUGGUCAGAUGUCAGCUUCAGUUCCGGGAAGCCCGUACCCUCAGGCCGCACCAGAUGGCGGGCAGGGCCAGUCAGGCGUCGUCUUUGCACGUGUCCCGUGGAUCCGAGAGUCUGUUCCCUGGACUGCGGUCGCACUUGCCGGCGAGGUUGAAGAGAGUCUUUCCGGAGGCAUCUUUUCCGACAGACGAAGUCUCCGGGUUGCCAGGGGUGAUGCAGGACGGCGUGUCCCGGGAGCACGCCGCGCAAAGCUUGCUUUACCAAACCGUGGUUGUUUUUAUAGGAGCAGCGAGCCUUGACGCUACGGAAGGGACCUCCCUUUACGGACUGUGGGUUGAGGAGGCAGGGCCAAGCGGGCCGGACGUCCUGUGACUGUCUCAAAGGGUGAGGGUCCAGGAGUUCCCCGGAGAAUGGAUCUGAGAUUUAGAAGGACCAGUGGCAGUCUCCACAAGUUUUUCCAGCUGAGACUUCACGAUGCCGCGAGUGAGUGUGACAACUCUGAGGACUGAGCGUGGCGUGUGCACAGUGCAAGUGUGGUAACAUCACACGGCCGAACAGUGCACGCCUAACUAACAAAGCACCUGAAUGGUGAAGUGGGUUUCCCGACCACCAUGAUGUGUGAGAGGGGCCCCCAGGUAGGAGUAAUCUUCUUUAACAGAAUUUUAGCCACAGAAGAAGCAUUGGCCUGUCUACAAGGGGAAGCUUCGGUCCGGUGGCAAAACAUACAGACCACGACAAGAACAUGUUUCUUUCCCUGAGGUAGGGAAGCCAUAUGAGAUCCAUUUGCCAAACCUCAAAUGGUCCGUCGGACGGUUCAGAGUCUGAGAGAAGUGCGGUUUUCCCUGGAUUAUACCUUGGAUGUGGGACGAGCAAAGUAGGCACCCUGUUAUCUUUUCUGCACCUGUAUUGGUCCACGAAUGCCAUCACCGUGUCAGGAGACCAGUGGUUGAAAGCACGUACAGUGAGAAAUUCCUGUAACUUGUCACAGGGCGUCAAAAGGUGAUGUGUCAACAUCGAGCAGUCGUGAGGGUCUUGUCAAUGAGGGAGGAGAGAGGAAUAGUGGGGUGAAGGCUGUUGCAAAAAGGAAGAGUCACAUGAGGAGCAGUUAGCAGGAGGAUGGCCAAAGGUUUGAACGGGUGAACGUUGCCUUCCUGUGCAGCGAGCUGAGAAAAGGGGCAGAAGAGUGAAUCCUCUGCGUAUUGGAACGAAGUGGAGCCUGCAGAACACUUUCUGUCGUCCGAAUCGGCUUUUAAGGUUUGUGAAAAGUAAGAAGGAUUCUCAGUGUGUAUA